rnacentral:rRNA from 1 species
AAACCGCNAAAGGCUCAUUAAAUCANUUAUGGUUCCUUANAUCGUACCACAAUUACUUGGAUAACUGUGGUAAUUCUANANCUAAUACAUGCAAACAGAGCUCCGACCGGAGACGGGAGGAGUGCUUUUAUUAGAUCAAAACCAAUCGGUGGCGGGUUCGCGCCCGUCAUCGUACAACUUGGUGACUCUGAAUAACUUUACNCUGAUCGCACGGUCAUCGCGCCGGCGACGCAUCUUUCAAAUGUCUGCCUUAUCAACUGUCGAUGGUAGGUUCUGCGCCUACCAUGGUCGUAACGGGUAACGGGGAAUCAGGGUUCGAUUCCGGAGAGGGAGCCUGAGAAACGGCUACCACAUCCAAGGAAGGCAGCAGGCGCGCAAAUUACCCACUCCCGGCACGGGGAGGUAGUGACGAAAAAUAACGAUACGGGACUCAUCCGAGGCCCCGUAAUCGGAAUGAGUACACUCUAAACCCUUUAACGAGGAUCAAUUGGAGGGCAAGUCCGGUGCCAGCAGCCGCGGUAAUUCCAGCUCCAAUAGCGUAUAUUAAAGUUGUUGCGGUUAAAAAGCUCGUAGUCGAAUUUGUGUCUCGCGCCGCCGGUUCAUCGUCCGCGGUGUCAACUGGCGAUUCGCGAGACGUCCUGCCGGUGGACUUAGCCGCGCGCGCGCCUUUAACCGGGGUCGCGCGCGGCGGUCCAACUCAAUCCCGCCGCGGUGCUCUUCACUGAGUGUCGAGGUGGGCCGGCACGUUUACUUUGAACAAAUUAGAGUGCUUAAAGCAGGCUAAAACUUCGCCUGAAUACUGUGUGCAUGGAAUAAUGGAAUAGGACCUCGGUUCUAUUUUGUUGGUUUUCGGAACCCCGAGGUAAUGAUUAAUAGGAACGGAUGGGGGCAUUCGUAUUGCGACGUUAGAGGUGAAAUUCUUGGAUCGUCGCAAGACGGACAGAAGCGAAAGCAUUUGCCAAAAACGCUUUCAUUGAUCAAGAACGAAAGUUAGAGGUUCGAAGGCGAUCAGAUACCGCCCUAGUUCUAACCUUAAACGAUGCCAGCUAGCGAUCCGUCGACGUUCCUCCGAUGACUCGACGGGCAGCUUCCGGGAAACCAAAGCUUUUGGGUUCCGGGGAAGUAUGGUUGCAAAGCUGAAACUUAAAGGAAUUGACGGAAGGGCACCACCAGGAGUGGAGCCUGCGGCUUAAUUUGACUCAACACGGGAAACCUCACCAGGCCCGGACACCGGAAGGAUUGACAGAUUGAGAGCUCUUUCUUGAUUCGGUGGGUGGUGGUGCAUGGCCGUUCUUAGUUGGUGGAGCGAUUUGUCUGGUUAAUUCCGAUAACGAACGAGACUCUAGCCUGCUAACUAGGCGUAUUACGACAUCCCAAAGGCCCGCCGCACGCUCGGGUGCGCCUCGAGUCGGGCGCGCGUGGUUUUUACUGUCGGCGUACAAACAAAUCUUCUUAGAGGGACAGGCGGCUUCUAGCCGCACGAGAUUGAGCAAUAACAGGUCUGUGAUGCCCUUAGAUGUUCUGGGCCGCACGCGCGCUACACUGAAGGAAUCAGCGUGUCCUCCCUGACCGAGCGGUCCGGGUAACCCGCUGAACCUCCUUCGUGCUAGGGAUUGGGGCUUGCAAUUGUUCCCCAUGAACGAGGAAUUCCCAGACGUGAGUCAUAAGCUCGCGUUGAUUACGUCCCUGCCUUUGUACACA